UACAGAGGGUGCAAGCGUUAAUCGGAAUUACUGGGCGUAAAGCGUGCGUAGACGGUUACAUAAGUCGGGUGUGAAAGCCCCGGGCUCAACCUGGGAAUUGCAUUCGAGACUGCGUAGCUAGGGUGCGGAAGAGGGAAGCGGAAUUUCCGGUGUAGCGGUGAAAUGCGUAGAUAUCUGGAGGAACACCGGUGGCGAAGGCGGCAUCCUGGACCAACACUGACACUGAGGAGCGAAAGCCAGGGGAGCAAACGGG
rnacentral:rRNA from 1 species